rnacentral:rRNA from 1 species
AUUGAACGCUGGCGGCAGGCCUAACACAUGCAAGUCGAGCGAGCGGCGGACGGGUGAGUAAUGUAUGGGGAUCUGCCCGAUUGAGGGGGAUAACUACUGGAAACGGUGGCUAAUACCGCAUACUAUCGGAUGAACCCAUAUGGGAUUAGCUAGUAGGUGGGGUAAAGGGUCACCUAGGCGACGAUCGCUAGCUGGUCUGAGAGGAUGAUCAGCCGCACUGAAACUGAGACACGGCCCAGACUCCUAGGAGGGGCAGCAGUGGGGAAGAUUGCACAAUGGGCGCAAGCCUGAUGCAGGCAUGCCGCGUGUAUGAAGAAGGCCUUAGGGUUGUAAAGUACUUUCAGCGGUGAGGCGUUACCCGCAGAAGAAGCACGGGGUAACUCCGGGCCAGCAGCCGCGGUAAUUC